rnacentral:rRNA from 1 species
CUCGAAAUCCUGUGGCGAGAGGAUUCAGUCUGGGGCGGCGGACGUGGCGGGCCGGAAAACAGAGCAGGGCUUCCCCGAACGGGGGCCGUCCGGCCGCACGGAUCACCGCAGCGCCCGACGCAUUUGACUCUCGUCCGAAGGACGCCGCAGCCGGUUGGGUAGCGCAAGCGCGACGGCCUGAGGGGCGGAAAAUGGAAGGUGGCCGGUGGCGCGCCCCCACGGUGGGCCGCCGGUUGUUAGCCGUUCCGCCAGUGGCUCGUCACCCGACCGAGGUGUCGCGAGGCCCCUAGGGGCCCAGGCGUCUCCUGUCCCUCCAGGACAGCGGGGCAGAGCGCCGCAGUUGGCUAUCGCAGUCCCGUUCGCACCCCACAAGGGGUGGUCGGGCGAGCGUGCGCCUCCGAUAGCGGCGCCGGACCCGUGCGGAGGCYGGAGGCUGGCGGCGAGUAGGUCGGUCACCCACCUGACCCGUCUUGAAACACGGACCAAGGAGUCUAACAUGUGCGCGAGUCAAUGGGUCUUGAACAGGCCCAGAGGCGCAACGAAAGCAAAGGCCGCGCACCACGCCGGCCGAGUUGGGAUCCCCGGCCACGAGCCGGGGCGCACCAGCGACCCGUCCUAUCCGGUCCGCCGGUUGGGCGGAGUACGAGCGUACACGUUGGGACCCGAAAGAUGGUGAACUAUGCCCGGGCAGGACGAGGCCAGAGGAAACUCUGGUGGAGGUCCGCAGCGGUUCUGACGUGCAAAU